GACGUCGUAGUGUAGUGGCAAGCACGCCCGCCGAUUAGAGGAUUACCGGCGAUGAAAGCGGGAAGCACGGGUUCGAUUCCCGACGACGUCA
rnacentral:tRNA from 1 species